GAGAGGUGGUCUCCUCCCUUAAUUAUGGUAUGCUAUUGCAUCACAGUUCUUCCAAUUUUGAUGUUGCUAUGGUUUGAAUUUUUCCCUCAAAGUUCAUGUGUUAAAACCUAAUCCCCAACACAACUUUAAGAGGCGCUUAACUCAUGAGGGCUUCAGCCGGAUGAACUGAUUAAUGUUGUUUUUGUGGGAGUGGGAUAAAAUAAUGAGUUUGGCCCCCUUCCCACAAGUUCUCUAAUUCUUACCUUCUUUUGCCCUUCCUCCUUUCACAAUGAAAUGAAGCAGCAAGAAGAUCCUCGCCAGAUACGUGGGCCUCUUGAACUUGGACUUCCCAGCCUGCAGAAUGGGCCCGUUACUGUCAGAUUCCGGCAGUUGACCCUGGUGAUUUCACAGCAGCAAGCACUGCAGGCGUUCCCAACACACAAGGCAAACUCUGUAUAUGGGCUCACCACCCACAGAUCCAGCUGUCUGUCAUGUCGUUCCCAUAUUGAAGGAACAUAACCUGUUAUUAAGCCAAUUCAGCCCUGGAAGAAGGAACAAGUUUCCAAAAUGCAAUCUUUGAGUUUGGAAAAUGGCAUUUGAGAGAAGCACAAAAAUAACUUGAGGUCCUGUGAGCAUAGAGGGAGUUGGCAGCCAGCUGCCUACAAGCCAAGAGAAGCAGCUUCAGAAUGAAAGCUGCCUUGUCA
rnacentral:lncRNA from 1 species